AGCCGAAACCGGGGCCGUUUGCCCCGGUCGUCCCCGGGUGGGCGCCGGGGGCCUGACGAGGCAGCCCUAA
rnacentral:hammerhead_ribozyme from 1 species